GCAAUGAAAUGGGACUAUCAUAUUGAUCCGGAGAUUGAGCACUAUUCUUGCAUGGUCGAUCUUUUUGCACGUGCUGGUUGCCUUGAGGAAGCAGUGAAACUAAUAGAACAGAUGCCCUUUGAGGCAGAUGCAAGCAUGUGGUCAUCAGUCUUAAGAGGUUGUGUGGCCCAUGGAGAUACGAAUCUCGGGAAGAAGGUGGCAGAACAUAUCAUUGAACUUGAUCCCGAGAAUUCAGGUGCUUAUGUACAGCUUUCAAGCAUAUUUGCCACCUCUGGGGAGUGGGAAAAAUCAUCUCUAGUCAGAAAGGUAAUGAGGCAGAGGCAAGUGAAAAAGAAUCCUGGUUACAGCUGGGCUGAUGGUUGAACAAGACAUUUUCACAGGGGUAAAUCAAUUAGACGAUGAGACUUCUUAAGGAGAGCAUGUUAUGCAUGCAUGAAUGGAUUUAACCAAGAUCUAUAGUGAGCCCAAAUAAAUUAUUUUGAUAUCCAUUUCAAAUGCUUACACAAUUUACAAUCAAGAUCUUAUCACCUCCACAAAAUAGUUGCUUGUGCUCCAGCCAUAUAGCAUCUUCUAUCUGCUUUGCGAUUUUGCUGGCUUUUCUGUUGAUCAGGGCACUUUUAUGAAAAUUCAGUGAACAUGUUUGGCUUCUGUUUUGCUAUUAUUGAACCGAAAGUUCCAAUGGUGAGGCUUUCAUCUUCAUUAGGAAAAAAACACAUUCUUGGAGCUUGACUUGGUAUCACGUUCACUGGUUCAACCAUGUGCAGUCCUUUACCAGUUAGUUUGAGAAGAUUAUUUUACCCUGGGAUGGCAACAGUUUUAGGUUGUAUACUUAUCAGAGGCAGCGGGCUUACAGUUACAUGUUGAUCUGACUGAUUCAUGGGAACUCGGCCAACCAGAAAACUAUACACAAGUCCAACUUGGCCAUAGCAAGAAAGCUGCUUGUUUUCUCUGUCAUCAAGCUUUUUUCUUGGUUGUAGGAAAUGCUGUCCCAAGAGUUAUCAACUAUAAACCAUCUUCAUCACCCAAAGGUGGUCGUAGCCUGCAAUGAAAAUUUGUUGGGUUUUCCAAUGUUUAUGGGGUGUCAUGGAUUAUGUUCUUGUUUCCACAAUUUGUAAAUGAUUAAUUUGUUGAUAAUUUC